rnacentral:rRNA from 1 species
UACGAAGGGGGCUAGCGUUGCUCGGAAUCACUGGGCGUAAAGGGUGCGUAGGCGGGUUUUUAAGUCAGGGGUGAAAUCCUGGAGCUCAACUCCAGAACUGCCUUUGAUACUGAAGAUCUUGAGUUCGGGAGAGGUGAGUGGAACUGCGAGUGUAGAGGUGAAAUUCGUAGAGAUGUGGAGGAACACCGAUGGCGAAGGCAGCCUCCUGGGCUAAUACUGACGCUGAGGCACGAAAGCGUGGGGAGCAAACAGG